UGUUUUAAAAUAUCGUGUCAUGAUACCAUGAAAAGGCAACUAUUGCAUGGAGGAAAUAACGACCUCUAGCAGAAGAAUCAUAAAUGAUU